GCUUGAAUAGUUUAAAGGUAAAACCUUAUUUUCAUGCGAUAAAGAUGGGUAUUCGAUUUUCCCUUCAGGCU
rnacentral:tRNA from 1 species